rnacentral:rRNA from 1 species
GCCUACGGGGCGCAGCAGUGAGGAAUAUUGGUCAAUGGGCGAGAGCCUGAACCAGCCAAGUCGCGUGAGGGAGUACUGCCCUAUGGGUUGUAAACCUCUUUUGUCGGGGAGCAAAAGCCGGACGUGUCCGGCUGUGAGAGUACCCGAAGAAAAAGCAUCGGCUAACUCCGUGCCAGCAGCCGCGGUAAUACGGAGGAUGCGAGCGUUAUCCGGAUUUAUUGGGUUUAAAGGGUGCGCAGGCGGAUUUUUAAGUCAGCGGUCAAAUCGUGGGGCUCAACCCCUUCCAGCCGUUGAAACUGGGGAUC